UCCUACGGGAGGCAGCAGUGGGGAAUUUUGGACAAUGGGGGCAACCCUGAUCCAGCCAUGCCGCGUGAGUGAAGAAGGCCUUCGGGUUGUAAAGCUCUUUCGGCCGGGAAGAAAUCGCACAGGCUAAUACCCUGUGUGGAUGACGGUACCGGAAUAAGAAGCACCGGCUAACUACGUGCCAGCAGCCGCGGUAAUACGUAGGGUGCGAGCGUUAAUCGGAAUUACUGGGCGUAAAGCGUGCGCAGGCGGUUUCGUAAGACAGAGGUGAAAUCCCCGGGCUCAACCUGGGAACUGCCUUUGUGACUGCGAGGCUAGAGUACGGCAGAGGGGGGUGGAAUUCCACGUGUAGCAGUGAAAUGCGUAGAGAUGUGGAGGAACACCGAUGGCGAAGGCAGCCCCCUGGGCCGAUACUGUCGCUCAUGCACGAAAGCGUGGGUAGCAAACAGGAUUAGAUACCCUGGUAGUUCACGCCCUAAACGAUGUCAACUAGGUGUUGGGUGGGUAAAACCAUUUAGUACCGUAGCUAACGCGUGAAGUUGACCGCCUGGGGAGUACGGCCGCAAGGUUAAAACUCAAAGGAAUUGACGGGGACCCGCACAAGCAGUGGAUGAUGUGGAUUAAUUCGAUGCAACGCGAAAAACCUUACCUACCCUUGACAUGUCCAGAAGCCCGGAGAGAUUUGGGUGUGCCCGAAAGGGAGCUGGAACACAGGUGCUGCAUGGCUGUCGUCAGCUCGUGUCGUGAGAUGUUGGGUUAAGUCCCGCAACGAGCGCAACCCUUGUCGUUAAUUGCCAUCAUUUAGUUGGGCACUUUAACGAGACUGCCGGUGACAAACCGGAGGAAGGUGGGGAUGACGUCAAGUCCUCAUGGCCCUUAUGGGUAGGGCUUCACACGUCAUACAAUGGUCGGUACAGAGGGUUGCCAAGCCGCGAGGUGGAGCCAAUCCCAGAAAGCCGAUCGUAGUCCGGAUUGCAGGCUGCAACUCGCCUGCAUGAAGUCGGAAUCGCUAGUAAUCGCGGAUCAGCAUGUCGCGGUGAAUACGUUCCCGGGCCUUGUACACACCGCC
rnacentral:rRNA from 1 species